ACCUGGUUGGCUCCGUUGGUGGAGCAUGCAACUCUUGAUCUCAGGGUUGUGAGUUCGAGCCCCACAUCGGGUG
rfam:Mustela putorius furo unplaced genomic scaffold scaffold00057, whole genome shotgun sequence.